AAAAAAUUUCGGCACAAAAAAAAACUUUUUGUGGUACUGUACAUUUAAAAACACUUAAAUUGAAAAUAUUUUUAAACGAACCUAAACAUGUUAAAAAUGAUUUUAAAUUCGGGCCGAUUUCAAAUGGAAGGGGGAGACAAAAACUUUAAAAAAAUAUAUUUUUGCAACAGCCCAAUUUUUCUGGCAAAUAUUUUUUUUUAAAUCAAAAUUAAAAAAAAUCAGAUUGUUCAUAUCAUUCGAACUUCAAAUAGGUUAGAUUUUGGUAGAAAACAAUCAAUUAAUCAAUUGGUAGUGUUUUCAAACCAAAAUGUAUUGCAGUGCUCCAAAAAAUAUAUUUCGAAGAUAAAAGAGCAGCCUAAUUAUUCUGGCAAAUAUUUUUUUAAAUCAAAAUUUAAAAAAAAAUCAGAUUGUCCAUAUCAUUCGAACUUCCAAUAGGUUAGACUUUGGUAGAAAACAAUUAAUGUUUGGUAGUGUUUUCAAGCCAAAAUGUAUUUCUGUGCUCCAAAAAAUAUAUUUCGAAGAUAAAAAAAGUCACCUCAGAAAAGACAAAACAUUAGAUGUCAGCUACCCAGCGUUUCAUAUAUUCUCUUUCAUAAUACAUCAGAAUCUAAAAAAAAAAUUGUAGUUCCCAUUCAAAAUUUUACUUUUGUGCUUACAAUAUACAUCCAUGUGAGCAUACCUGGUUUCUAUAAUGACGUUGCAAAGGUAAACUCCGACAGUCGGCAUUCAGCGAUAAGUCGACAUCGAUUUGAGUUUGGUGAGAAACGUCAAAGUUGAAUCAAAACAAACGAAAAUAAAAAUGAUAAAAAAGUGUGGGAUCGAACGAAUGAAUUUUUAAAAUUUUGUGUAACCGGCAGAGCAAAAAUAGGAGAAAAUUAUGAAUUGUACCGGUGUGUAAGAUAAAGUUUGAUUGAUUGAAUGAUUUAUGAUCCUGGAUGGACAGGGUCAAGCAGGCAGCGGAUUAGGAAGAGCGCAGUUGGAUGAGAUGAUGGCGGAACUCAUGGACCCGAACGUUUCGUCGAGAAUAUUGAGCGCCUCAAUACGGUUUUGGAGGCCGGAAAUUGUUUCACCCCCAGGUUGUGCGAGAUCUUUUGGCGUUGAUUCCCUCCUUUUUCAAUAGUUAGUGAGAUCAUUUCCCAUUUCAAUAAGCUGAAAAUACACACAUGCUUCAUUCAAAGUUUAGUUUCCUAAAAAUGCUCUUUGCUCUCAUUCACACGCCUGUAGCAUUAUAGAUCAUUGAUAGAUACAUUUUGCCAUGUUGUGUUUCAGCAAUUUCCUCAGCCAGUCAGCGGUGACGACGUCAAGUCUAAUUCUUCUCAGAAGCUGAUAAAAGAUACUGCCUUGUUGUAGAAAAAGAUAAAAGCCUACACCUUAUCCAAAGACCAAACUGACCAAGUCAAAAGCAACUUCCGGUGGGCUCGGGUGAUAGCUGCAAAAGGCUUCCGUUGGCUCGACCUGAUUUCUCAUUUAUGAUUCACUCUGCCGUUGUCGGGCAUUCUACAAUUCAAUCAACGAAAACCCAUGACAAUGGUUUGCCGGUCAUCUUGAGUAAGCAAUAAUCAACAAGAAUUGUGGCUUCCGAGAUGUUUUGCGAGAUUGGUCAUAUGAUUACAGGUUUAGUAGACUUCAAGUGAGUAAGUUUCAGUUUAAAGUAUAACAAAGUCAUAGAAAUCACAAAUUCGCUUUCAGAGUAAAGUUUAAUACUCCGUUCAAUUUAGCAUUUGAUAAAGUUUCAUUUUCUUUAUUUGCCUUACGCAGUUUGGAAUGGUAAACUAAUGUAGAAAAAAGUGAGCCGUUCCAAACCAGGCUAUAAAAGCAUUUGAAAUUUACAUCAUUUUCUGAAUUCAACGGAGCAAAAAAAAAUUUGGCUUUGGUAAAAUUACAUCGAUUUCAUCGGAAAUUUACAAGUUUCUAAAGCAAAGUUCGUCCGCACGAUUACGUCGGAUGGCACUUAAUUUUACAAUGAAGUUCAUGUAAAUUAGCAUCAUUAAUGACGUGCACUUUUGGUACAUCAUUAAUUAUGUAAAUUUACCGAAUUAUUUUUUUCUGUGUACACUAGGGUGCCCAGAAAAAAUUACCCCCUGCUCCACAAGCGGAAAACGGUUUUUUGGGUUGUUUUAAGCAUCUGUGUAAAUUUUGAGCGAAAUUGGAUGAGAUUAAUCCAUUGAAACCCGAGCCCAAAGUUGGCGAAAAAAAUGUUUUUCAUACAAAAAUGACUUUUUUGAAUCGCUAAUAACUUUUCAGGAUCGAGUUUUACAGCUUUGGUAUGUUCUACAAAGUUGUAGAGCAUUAAAUUUUCAAUAAGAAUCUCACUUUUGAGAAUAUUUGGAUAGAAGUACCGCACCGUGCAGACCAAACCGUAAGAAACUUGGGUUUUCCAUACAUUUUUCCAUACAAACUUCACCUCAGAGUAUCAAUGGGUAAAUGAUGACCGAUUUUGCUCAUUUUUUUUUUUUUUUUUUUUUUAAUUAAAUAUACUUUAUUGAAUCUUUCUUAUAAUAAUUACAUUUGGUUUACAUAAUAAGUGGUCAGCUGUGGCUCUUCAGCUUUAAUUUGCUUUUCGUGAUUUAAACACUGUUCAUUUUCAUAACUUUAAAAAUAUAUGAUUUAUCAUUUUUGUAACACUAGGUACAAUGAGGAAAAAAAAAAUGUUAAGAAAACAUAACCUAACCUAAAACUAACUUAAACUUACAAUAAA